rnacentral:rRNA from 1 species
CCUACGGGAGGCAGCAGUGGGGAAUCUUGCGCAAUGGGCGAAAGCCUGACGCAGCCAUGCCGCGUGAAUGAUGAAGGUCUUAGGAUUGUAAAAUUCUUUCACCGAGGACGAUAAUGACGGUACUCGGAGAAGAAGCCCCGGCUAACUUCGUGCCAGCAGCCGCGGUAAUACGAAGGGGGCUAGCGUUGCUCGGAAUUACUGGGCGUAAAGGGAGCGUAGGCGGAUAGUUUAGUCAGAGGUGAAAGCCCAGGGCUCAACCUUGGAAUUGCCUUUGAUACUGGCUAUCUUGAGUACGGAAGAGGUAUGUGGAACUCCGAGUGUAGAGGUGAAAUUCGUAGAUAUUCGGAAGAACACCAGUGGCGAAGGCGACAUACUGGUCCGUUACUGACGCUGAGGCUCGAAAGCGUGGGGAGCAAACAGGAUUAGAUACCCUGGUAGUCCACGCUGUAAACGAUGAGUGCUAGUUGUCGGCAUGCAUGCAUGUCGGUGACGCAGCUACGCAUAAGCACUCCGCCGUGGGAGGUACGGUCGCGAAGUAAUUAAACUUACAAGUAGUUAGUUAGACGNGNGAGAGCGACGACGACGACGACGGAGGAGGAG